GCUGGUUCGUAACAAUGGUAAUAUAUUUAAAACUGCUACAGAUCUAUCAUGCUUUAAUCCACACACAUUUAAUAAAUUAAACAUUCAUUAUAAUUUCCUUAGGCAGGCAAAGAUGGACGUGGAUUCCAUCAGACUCUAUCAGCCCUGUGCAGAAAUGAUGGUUACUUCAGGUCAAACGAUGGAGAAACAAGAGACUUAAACAAGUCUUUGGCUAAGAUUAUGCAUGAAAGCAUCAAUGAAAAGUUUCAUGCCUUGUUCCCGUAAGUAUUGUUACCGUAGUCUGAAAAGUGUUAUUCAUCCAGAGCCUCUCUGUGUGACAUGUGUCCAAUGUAAUGUGUGCAGAAAUGAAGAGGAAGCGAGAGAUUCAGUGUGGGAGAAGGUCAAACAAGUCAGUGUCUGCUCGAUCAGAGUCAAAGAGGGCUACAGCAACCCUGAAGCAAUGAAUCUCAUUCUGAGGUUCUUAGAAGCUGAGGAAGACAAGCUGAAACGUAUGAGAUAUGGAGAGAUUGCGCAACAAAAGAGGGAAAUAUAUGCAUCAAUCACACAUACCAUCAAAGCAGAGAUGGUUCCUGGCUACAAUGGUAAGUCAGUGGAAUUGUAGUUAAUUCCAGACAGACUUAUUUGAAGAGUAACUGUAUGUGAUUAUGUAAUUUCGGUAAUAUAAACCAAAUGUUGCUUGUUUGGCUGCAGUUGCUGACGACUGUAGUGGAGAGGGAUCCAUGGUGGCGAAGCAGAGAAUACUGAUAAAACACACUGAGUCACUAAAGGGUACCAUGUUCAACAAAGCAAAGGACAGGAUGCUGGCUUUGUUAAAAAAACUGAUGGUUUGUUCACUUUUACAUGUGAAGUUCAAAAAUGAAAAUUCUUUAGGAUUUUAGAAGUUAGGAAAAUUCAGUCACUCAGGUGAAUCGACUAUUUCGAGAAUAUUUAAACAAAAAGUUUGUGUGACUUGAAUCUUUUUUUUUCUUUGCAAGAAACAAAUUGAGGACCUUUUGGGAGAGGACCUGUUGAAAGCUAUGGAUCAUGCACUGACUGAAUCCAACUUCCCUUUUAGCAUGGGUAAGUCAGGAUCUCCACAGAUCUUCAUUAUAUCCCGUAUCCAUCUGCCUGAACAGUAAACUCACAUUCCAAAGCCUUGCUUGUACACUGAUGUUUUGAAGUCUGAUCAAAAUGCUUUCUCAAUGGUCUGUGGCACUGGGAUCAUUCUGCUGACAUAAAUCGCACGAGAAAGACGACUGACUGUGUUCUUCUUUGUUCUAGAUGUCAGCACUGAAAUUAGAGAGCUGGAGUUAUCUGCCCCAACCGAUGAAUAACAGUGCCAAGAAUCUAAUGGAGAAUGGGUGUGGACAACAGGUUUUAGCAUAAUCAUGCAAAAUGCUUAUGGUUGGGCAGGCAGUAAAGAAAUGACAUACAUAAUUCUUCUAUAGAUCAUCUAGAUACAGCGUGUUAAAAACUAGUGAUGUAUGGCUAGGAUGGUCCGUCUUUGUCAUGAAGGUCUGUGGUUCUAUUGUCUCUUAGAACUCUCUAGACCGACACAAACAACUCGUCAUUCGUUUCAGUAGUGUUCUAAGUACUCUAUGAACAUCAGUCUCAGCUGUGUGUUAAGCUUGAGCUGGGACAAUCCCAAAAGGAAUGACAGACUUUGUCAUAAGUGUUCUAUCAUAAUGUAAAUACCAAACACAAAUGCUAUCAGACAGAUUAUUUGAUCCUAAUUAGGCCUGUAGAGUGCUGAAGCCAAUUUCAGUGCUUAUUGGGUAAAAGGCAGGAAACACACUGGACAGGUCACCAGUCCAUAGCAGGGCAGACACACAAACACAUUCACACUUAGGGGCAAUUUACUAUCUCCAGUUCACCUUACGUACGUGUCUUUGGACUAGGGAGCGUGGAAACCCACACAGAUCAAUGAUUUUAUUUGAAUGAUUUAUGUAAUCUUUUGGGACUUUUGGGGUAGUAGGCUUCAUGUUUAUGUUUAGGGUAGUAGGAUAAAUGUUUUAAUGAUUUAAGAAUGUUAGAUAUAGAAUGUUAGAUAUAGAAAACAGGCCAAUGGGCUCUGUAAAGUGCCUUGUGACAAUUUUAAUGUUUUAGCGCUAUAUAAAUAAAAUUUUGUUUAAUUAAAUUGAAAACA
ensembl:lncRNA